UACGGGGGGUGCUAGCGUUGUUCGGAAUCAUUGGGCGUAAAGAGCGUGUAGGCGGCUGGAUAAGUCAGAUGUGAAAGCCCUGGGCUUAACCUAGGAAGUGCAUUUGAAACUGUUCAGCUUGAGUAGGGGAGAGGAAAGUGGAAUUCCUGGUGUAGAGGUGAAAUUCGUAGAUAUCAGGAGGAACACCGGUGGCGAAGGCGACUUUCUGGCCCUAUACUGACGCUGAGACGCGAGAGCGUGGGUAGCAAACAGG
rnacentral:rRNA from 1 species